rnacentral:tRNA from 1 species
GGAGAUGGACCAUGGCUCAGUGGUAAAACAUCUGCACAGCACGCAGAAGGCCCUAGGUUCAGUCUCUGGCAUCUCCA